rnacentral:misc_RNA from 1 species
UCGUCAAUGGAGUAGUGUCCCUUGUUUUGUCUAAAGUUCACGUCUGCGGUUACAUCGUUAAACUAUUUUCGUUUCAUUUUCAUUCUUUUAAAUCAAAGAUGGCUGCAAAACCUUUAGUGAACAUAGACAUCAUCAGCGAUGUAAUGUGUCCUUGGUGCUGGGUUGGCAAGCGAAAGUUGGAAUCCAGCAUGAAAGCUCUUGAAGAUAAAAUUCAAUUCAGGGUACGAUGGCAUCCUUACCUACUGCGUCCUGCCGCUCCGCCAGAAGGCAUACCCAUUCCGUCUGCUUUUAGAAGUGGACCAAGGGUGACCCAGCUGCAACAAGCUGGAGCUGCAGUUGGAAUCAAUUUUACUUUCAAAAACACCUCUUUCCCAAGCACCAUUAGAAGUCAUGCUCUUCUGGAACUGGCGGCAGCUAAAGAUGAUGGAGUAAAACAGAACGAUGUUGCAGAGCUACUGUUUAAGGCAUAUUUUGUAGAUGGCAAGAUGCUUACUGAUGAUGAUGUAGUGGACGUUGGCAAGCAGGCAGGGUUUGAGGCAAAUGAGAUUCGAGCUUACAUCAGCAAGCAGGAAAAUCUUGAUCAUGUUGUUAGAACAGCCAAAAGUUGGGCUGACAAGGGAGUGGAAGCGCAUGUUUUCUGGUGCUCAGGAUGAGGAUGUUUUCAAAAGAAUGCUUACUAUGGCAGCAGAAAAGUUCCAAGCGUCUACCAUUAACAGAGCUUAAAUUUUACUUCCUGUAAAUAAAAUUAUCCAUAAGUACCUUCAGUAUACAUCCAUUCUGCCCAUUAUUUCCUGUGGGUCAUCAUAAACAUUUCUAUCAGAUCCAGGGAGUGGGCUCUGUCACACUGUGAGUGCAAGAAAUGAAAUUCCACCGUUAUAGCCUGC